rnacentral:lncRNA from 1 species
CUGGAAAACCUGAUCUGCUGCUGGGGCUGGGGCAGACCUGCUUUGUGCAUUUCCCUGCCCAUAUUCAGCCCCAUCCCAUCGCUCUGUCCCUGCCUGAGGAAGAGCUAGGCUGCACUGCUGCUCAAGGCCUGGACUACCCUGCUUGGUUGAGGGCAACAAUUUUUGAUGCACAACAACAGGAAGAGUCCAGAAUAAACACAUUAAGUAUCUUAAAUUUGCAACUCAAGUUUGUUUGGGGUCACUGGAUGAUAGGCAAGGGCACAGACAAUAAAGCAAUAUGCUGGAACCAGUCUUCACACACUGGAAAGCAAACAGGAAAUACAUCUGGAAACAGGGGCUGAGCCCUCGGCCCGCAGCAUCUGUGCUCUUGCGGACCAGGCACAC